rnacentral:sRNA from 1 species
GCUGGGUGUUGUGUUGGAUGCCUGUGAUCCCAGCGACUCGGGAGGCUGAGGUAGGAGGACUGCAAGUUCCAGGCUAGCUUCAGUAACUUAGUGAGACCCUGCCUCAA